rnacentral:rRNA from 1 species
GGCCCCGCACAAGCGGUGGAGCAUGUGGUUUAAUUCGAUGAUACGCGAGGAACCUUACCAGGGUUUAAAUGCAGAACGACAGGGGUGGAAACACCCCCUUCUUCGGACGGACUGCAAGGUGCUGCAUGGUUGUCGUCAGCUCGUGCUGUGAAGUGUCGGGUUAAGUCCCAUAACGAGCGCAACCCCCAUUUCUAGUUGCCAGCGGUUCGGCCGGGGACUCUAGAGAAACUGCCAGCGUAAGCUGUGAGGAAGGUGGGGAUGACGUCAAAUCAUCACGGCCCUUACAUCCUGGGCCACACACGUGCUACAAUGGCCGGUACAAAGGGCAGCGAAACCGCGAGGUCAAG